rnacentral:rRNA from 1 species
UAGGGGAUCUUCCGCAAUGGGCGAAAGCCUGACGGAGCAACGCCGCGUGAGUGAUGAAGGUCUUCGGAUCGUAAAACUCUGUUAUUAGGGAAGAACAAAUGUGUAAGUAACUAUGCACGUCUUGACGGUACCUAAUCAGAAAGCCACGGCUAACUACGUGCCAGCAGCCGCGGUAAUACGUAGGUGGCAAGCGUUAUCCGGAAUUAUUGGGCGUAAAGCGCGCGUAGGCGGUUUUUUAAGUCUGAUGUGAAAGCCCACGGCUCAACCGUGGAGGGUCAUUGGAAACUGGAAAACUUGAGUGCAGAAGAGGAAAGUGGAAUUCCAUGUGUAGCGGUGAAAUGCGCAGAGAUAUGGAGGAACACCAGUGGCGAAGGCGACUUUCUGGUCUGUAACUGACGCUGAUGUGCGAAAGCGUGGGGAUCAAACAGG